GAUGAGCGCUGGCGGCGUGCCUAAUACAUGCCAGUCGAGCGAACAGACGAGGAGCUUGCUCCUCUGACGUUAGCGGCGGACGGGUGAGUAACACGUGGAUAACCUACCUAUAAGACUGGGAUAACUUCGGGAAACCGGAGCUAAUACCGGAUAAUAUAUUGAACCGCAUGGUUCAAUAGUGAAAGACGGUUUUGCUGUCACUUAUAGAUGGAUCCGCGCCGCAUUAGCUAGUUGGUAAGGUAACGGCUUACCAAGGCAACGAUGCGUAGCCGACCUGAGAGGGUGAUCGGCCACACUGGAACUGAGACACGGUCCAGACUCCUACGGGAGGCAGCAGUAGGGAAUCUUCCGCAAUGGGCGAAAGCUUGACGGAGCAACGCCGCGUGAGUGAUGAAGGUCUUCGGAUCGUAAAACUCUGUUAUUAGGGAAGAACAAAUGUGUAAGUAACUAUGCACGUCUUGACGGUACCUAAUCAGAAAGCCACGGCUAACUACGUG
rnacentral:rRNA from 1 species